GACAGAGGAUGCAAGCGUUAUCCGGAAUGAUUGGGCGUAAAGCAUCUGUAGGUGGCUUUUCAAGUCCGCCGUCAAAUCCCAGGGCUCAACCCUGGACAGGCAGUGGAAACUACCAAGCUGGAGUACGGUAGGGGCAGAGGGAAUUUCCGGUGGAGCGGUGAAAUGCAUUGAGAUCGGAAAGAACACCAGCGGCGAAAGCACUCUGCUGGGCCGACACUGACACUGAGAGAUGAAAGCUAGGGGAGCAAAUGGG
rnacentral:rRNA from 1 species